rnacentral:lncRNA from 1 species
UCCACCUCUUGCAUCCUGAUGGCCCUGGCCGACCAAGAAACGCUGCAGCUAUACAUCUCCACAACAACACACGUUGUGAGCACGGUGCUAGUUGUAGAACGUGAAGAACCUGACCACGCCCACAUGGUGCAAAGGCCGAUAUAUUACGUCAGCGAGGUCCUGAGCAACUCCAAAGUCCGCUCCACACAGGUCCAGAAAUUGCUCUACACAAUACUG